AACAUGAAUCUGGGCCUUUGGUAAGUUAUGGUCUUUGCUCCCAGCCAAGAACACAAUGUUAAGAUGGCUAGUGUUUUUUGUCCUGACCAGUGUUACCAAGCAAAGGUCAUGAAUGUUUGCUCUGGUUGGGUAAUGCCAGGCUGUCAGAUGGGAAGUGGGCAAUGAUCAGGUGGUAGGAGGGAGAGCCUUUGCCUUGACUGGUGAGGGGAUGAGGAUGUAAGAAGGCGCCUCCUCUGACCACCUUCCCUAAGUGUUUCACUGUCACAUUGUUUCCUUCUGACAUCAUUUCAUCCUGGGCUUCACAAUCAUCAUGUCAAACACUCUGAAAACUUGUUGAAAAGGCGUCUCUUUUGAAGAAUUAGGAGACAGGACCACACACCCUACUCCCCUAACUAGCUCUUAUUUCUCUUUGGACAGACCUGGCCCCAGCCUCUACGAAUGUGUUGAAGAUGAGCUUAUCCCUGGGAGCCAGAGCCCACUCCUGGCCUGCAGGUUGAAGACUGAGCCCCAGGACGUGGUGCUUCAACCGACCUGCUGCCGUAGAGACCGUGUGCAGCCAGUGGGACCCCCCCCUCCGUAUACCCAGUCACUCCACUCUGAUCCGCAUUCCAGGGAGAUGGCUCUGGCUGAGGCGCGGAGCAGGGCUUGGGUAUAGGACAGACUAGAGUCGAGGAGACCAGGCAGGAGGCAAAGGGCCAGGGUGAGGCCAGUGGCCUUGAGGACACAGAGGAAAGGAUGAGUCUGGACAGAUGUUGCAGGCGGAGUAGACGGGACUCAGUGCCUGAUUGGGUGGGUGGGUGAGUCAGGGCACAGCCUCUUAGAUGACACCACAAAGACACAAAGGUUUCCCAUUGGGUGACUUGGGGUGGGGAGAGGCUCUCACUAGUUGGACCUUCAUGGAGAGCAGUGAGUUUAAAGGGGAAACCAACAAGUUUGAGUUUGAGGUGCUAGGGGGAGCCCCAGCACAGAUGCCCAGAAAAAAGGGCCAUGGGCUCUAUGGGCUAGGAGUUCAGGAGAGAGAUUCCUCUAGGCUAGAAAUACAGACUUGGGCAAAACAACAAAUAUUAGUCAUGAAUUAAGGAGAGCCUGAGCUCACCCAGAGAGGACCUCCGGAGAGAGGAGACAGGAGGGCCAGGGACAGAGUCCUGGAAAAUACUGAGGUGUGGGGCUGAGGGGACCUGUGGGCAGAGCAGAGGGCAAGGAGCCAGCACAGGAGCCCGAGAAGCAGCAAAUAUGGAUGAGGAGGAGUCAGAAUGUGGGGAGGUCAAGACAGGAGAGCGUUUAAGAAGUGAGUAGUCAAAUGCCACCGAGAGGUCCAGAAACUAGGCUGGGAAGGCCUGCGGAUUUUGCAUCUGGACAUCACUGGUGACCUUUGUCAGAGCAGGGCCUGUGGCUUGUGGGUCAGCAGAGGGAGGGCAGGGCGUUGAGGAGUGACAGAGGUGGGAGGAAAGGAAGCAGGCCCAGGAGGGGUAGAAAGAACAUUCCUUGGAGGGCACAGGCUGAGAGAAGACCCCCGGCCAGGAGAGGUAGGGUCCUGGGAGAAGCUUAGAAAGUUGAGAGGAAGAGCCAGUCAAGAGGGAGAGAUUUAAAGUACGGGGAUAUGAGUGGAUAACUGAAAGAGAACUUUCUAGGAGGAGCCAGAAGGGGUGGGUUUCCCCUUAGAACGGGUAAGGAGGCUGUAGAAUUAAUGAGCCCAUCCUCACUGCAAAACCAUUCAAAAAAGCUGUCAGGAGGGCUUCAGACACAUUUUUUUUUUUAGGGAUUUCACUUUUUUCCAAACCCACUGUGCACUGCAUAAAGUUUGCAAGGAUCAUCUAACCAGUUAUGCCGUCACCACGCUAACUACCAAGGGGACUGAUUGUUGGGUGGAAUUGUACUUUAAUCAGCAAGUGACUGUCCCAAGCGAGGGAGACUUUCCCAGGUGCUGCAGGAGGAGAGCAGAGGCAGCUGACUGUUGUGCAACUGACCAUAAAAAGGAGCCAGAAGGAGGUGGAAACAAAAGGCAUGUAAUGGAGAAGGUAAACUACUCAGGUCAUAGAAAGAAGUAGUAUCAAGUCAGUAUGAGAGCCACGUUGGUCAUGACAUCCCUUUUUAUCCUCUGUCUCACUCUUCAGUCUCUCCUUAUCUUAAAUCUCUUUCUGUCCUCUGUCACUCUUGCUUCUACCCCAGGCCAUGUUAUAAAUUCAUCCAGCCAUCCCUGGCCCUCUCUCCUUACUGAAGUCUUUCUCCCUGUUCUUUGGAACCUGGUUUCUCUCCAGCUUACUGACUCGUCUCCAUCCAUUGUUCCACUGACCCAGAAGUGAACUUGGACUUGGGGCAGGACAGAAGGUAGCAGAAACUUCCGUGAUGCCUGCUCUCCCUGGAUGUGAUCUCCCUUUGGGCAGAAGCUGAGAAGCAUCCAAAAUCUGGUCCCUGCAUGGCACCUCCUAGCCUGGCCUGGGCUCCCAGCAGGCAGAAGUCACCCCUCCCCUUUGCUUCCCCUUGUCCCCUCUUCUGAGAGAAACAAAGAGAGAGAGCGCACGAGACAGAGCAAAAGAGAGAUUGACUGAAGUUUAAUAUUUUCCCUGGAGAUAUACACUCAAGAGAAGGCAAAGGAGUUAUCAGAGGCCACACCCAUUUCUCUGGGUCUCAAAAAUGAGAAAAUUGAGUCCCUAGGCCCAUCUCUUAACUCACUUUACCCUCCCCUACCUCACCCCUUUUUAAGACCCGUCCGUAAAAGAAAAAAAUAGUUCUUGUUUGGGCCCAUUUAUUAUCUGAAUAAUAAUAAAUGAAUAGGUAAAAUUAUGGUUCAAAAUUCAAAAUGUACAAAAGGAUUUAUAAUACUAAGUCUCCUCUCUCUCUGGUCCCCACUUCCCAGUUUCCCUCACCAGAGGCAACCUGUGUUACCUGUUUCUUCUGAAUAUGCAUCUAUAGGAAAAUAUUUGUAUUAUCCUCCCUUCUAAUACACAAAUGGAAGUACCCUAUACACAGUUCUGCACCUUGCCCCUUUCACUGGAAGAUGAUUCCCUAUAAAGAGAUGUAAUUAGUUUUAUAAUUGCAUAGUAUUGCAUUGUUAAGGCUGUAUCAGAAUUUAUUUAACCAAUCCUCUAGGGAAGGAUGGUUCUGCUGUUUCCAAUCUCUUUCUAUUUGUAUACCAAUCCCUAACCCAGACCCUCCUCCCCUGCCUCAAACCAGGACAGUGAUGGGGAGAGGCUCCUCCCCCAGAGGCUGGCCUUAUUUGCAUGCCCACAUGUGACUGGACAGCCCCUGGCCCCCUGACUGGAGUUCCUGGUUCUUCCUGCUUCUCACAAUUGGUGCCCACCCAGCCUCCCUUGCUGGCUGUUACAGAGUACAGAGGGCAUUGGUCACACACAGACCUGGC